UGCUUAGAAAUCCUUCUGGCAAUGGCCCAC
rnacentral:piRNA from 1 species